CGCACGCGGAGAGGCGAGGAAAAAAGAGAGAACGCACGCGGCCGCGGGAGGAAAGAAAAGGCACGAUCUCGCCACACCCUCGCGCCGCGCAAGUUCGUCGUUCGCAUCAGAAUUUUGCAGCGGCGAACAACACCAUAUUCAUCCAUCUUGUUCGUCGUUCUUGCAUCAGAAUUUUGCAACGACGAACGCCACACUUUCACCCACCAAAUCUCGAGACGAUUGCUGCGACGGAGCGGCGCCUAUGGCAAUUACUAUGGGGCCAGGCGGAAAGCGCGUCUUUGAUGGGAAGCGAGAUUGAUAUAUUUUUUGGAGCAUCGUCCAACAUGCGUAUGUGAUAUUAUUUUACAUCGACACCUUGGCCAAGUGUCGACGAGACAAUGGCUACCUAUCAUUACCAUCAUGUCUAAGCUGACGAGGCUAGGCAAAACUAUGGCCAAGUGCCGACGAGGCCAGGUCACCAUUAUUAUCGACGUGUCCCAAACCUAUGGGAUCGGACACACUGUUGCUUGGCACCGACGAGGCGAUAGCGACACAUACACAUGUCCACGUUCGAUGAAUUCAGGGCGUUACAUGACUGGGCACCGACGAGGCGAAAGUCAUCCCCUUCAUCGACAUAUCCUGUUGGUCAUACCAACAUGGCGAUAGUAUAAGUGACUGGGUUUCGGCGAAACAAAGCCACCCGCACACAUAUUUUCCAUUAAUAUCACAAGGCAUAUGGAUGAGCAAUCCAAACAUGACGACGACCAUCAGCGCAGCUUAAUCGGAGGUAUUCUGCGGGGCUUGACCCUACGGAUGUAAUUAACCGGAUGCUUGCAAAGGCACCGGGAAUCAAUGAACUACGCAAUCUCCUAAGUCAGAUACUCCAUGAGCGCGACGCAGAAGGCAAAAAGGAUAUGAUCCUAUUGGAACAUGCAAUAUGUAUUUGUACAAUGCAAUGAUAUGAAUAAAGUGCAGUGUUCCUUA